GCGGGAAAGCUGAGUCACGGCGGCGAGGCCGCGGCCGUUCGGCGGCCGUGUGGAGGGGCGGCCUCACUGGGAGCCGCGCACUGAGAGGGUCCGAGCCCGCGCCGUAGAGGUGCCACCGCGAGACAACUUGCCUUGAUACGUUGUUGGUUUGUUCACACUGAACUCAGGGCCAGCAGUGCCUAAGUCAUGUCUGAACCCAGCCUGUCUGCUGCUGUUCUCUGUAAGGUGCAUCGCCGCCUCCUGGUACUUAGGAAACGGGACAGCACCUAAACUCCGGCCUGAAGGCCACUUGAAACCGGAAGAGUGCCACCAGAAAGCUCAAAAAUGUGAAGACCAUACACUAAAUAGGCUGUGGAACGGAAGCUUAUUUCCCGUAUCAGAACUGAAACAAGAAAGAAGGAAGGUGUCAUCUUGUCCCACCUUGACUGGAAGUGUGUUUCUCAGGCAACUCAAGUUUUUUGCUGCUCAGUACAUGUUGGCGAAUAACUGCUGAAGUACCACAAGUGUUGAUUUUGGAGUUACAAAUGAAUUUAGCAGAUAGGCAAAUUCACAAAUGUGGAAACCACAAAUAACAAGAAUUGUGUGUGUGUGUGUGUAUUUGUACGUGUACAUACCCAUUUUCCUUAGUCUUUUUCUGAACCGUUUGAGGAUGUGCUAUAGACGUGAUACCCCAUCACCCCAAAUAUUUGCGUGUAUAUUUCCCAAAAGCAGACACUCCUUCGUAGCCAUUCUGUAACCAUCCACAUGAGGAAAUCAGUGUCAAAACAGUAUUAAGGUCCAAUCCACAGACUCCAUUGGAUUUUGCCAACUAUGUCAAUGUCUCUUCUUCUUUUCUGCUCUCGGGUCCCAUCCACAAUCAUAUGUGCAGCCUCCUUCAUGCUGGGAGAGGUCUUCCAUCCUUCUUGUCCCUAAUAGUUUUUAUUAUUAAAGACCACAGACUUAUGCAUAUGA